rnacentral:lncRNA from 1 species
AUGUACAACCUGAGCUACCAAAGCCCUGCGAGAGCUGCCCUUCUCCCUGCUAGCGCCAGCAGAGAGACACAUCCAAGGGGCCUUUGCUGCUCGGCACGGUGGGACACGGACAAGAGCGACGGCCUCGGAUUUCGGGGCGGGCAGUGGGGUCAAUGCCAGACCCCGGCACAGCCCCUGCGGCGGCUGCUCUGCACCUGCCCUGCUCCUUCAGAGACUCCAGGAUGCUCCAGCCCGGCCAUCCCGCGGAGCGGGAGCGACACGCACAGUGAGCCAGGGCACGAGCCUGUCCCGGCUCCCCCUUGGCUCCCCUCGGCCUUUUUAACUAAAACCCAGAAGCCAAGAAGAAGCAGCCGUUCGGCCGCAGUCUCCAUCCACAGCCCUGUCCGUCUGUCCUCCGUCGUCUCCAUGCUCAUCCUACCCCAAUGCCUUGGCCGCGCUUGCCAGGCCCCCUGUGGCUGGUGGGGGGAUCAAGGGGGAGCCCCCGGUGUGCCCAGGGCAGCAGGCUGGGAGUCCCCAGAGAGAGCCUCUGUCCCCCGGGACAGCAGCUCAGCCUCGCCUGGGCGCUCCCGGCACGAGGAUUCAGCACCUCCACCUGUCCACCUGUCUUCCUUGGCUCCUGACCCAGGAUCAGCCCCAGGAUCAGCCCCAGGAGCAGCCCAGGAUCAGCCCCGGGAUCAACCCUGGGAUCAGCCCCAGGAGCAGCCCAGGAUCAGCCCCAGGAGCAGCCCCGGGAGCAGCUCUGGGAUCAGUCCCGGGAUCAGCCCUGGGAUCAGCCCUGGGAUCAGUCCCGGGAUCAGCCCCGGGAUCAGCCUCAGGAGCAGCCCUGGGAUCAGCCCUGGGAUCAGCCCUGGGAUCAGCCCUGGGAGCAGCCCUGGGAUCAGCCCUGGGAGCAGCCCUGGGAUCAGCCCUGGGAUCAGCCCUGGGAUCAGUCCUGGGAUCAGCCCUGGGAUCAGCCCCGGGAGCACCGGAGGGGGCUCAGCUGGGAGGUGCCCCCUCGGCUCUGAGGCCACCAGGCCGGUCCCUCCCCACCCGCCCCUCCUGUGCUCCGGGCAGCCUGGCCAGUUCCAGCACUGCCCUGCAGUCCCUCCCAUCCCCAGGGAACCCUGUGGCCCCAAACUCAGCCAUCCUCGGGGGGAGAAAGGCAGAAGGAAACUCCUGGCCCCAUUUGGCCACAGCCCCCAGCUGGGGACACCCCCUUGGCACCACCGUGGCUGGGCGGGCACUGGAGCCCCAAAGCCCCUCCAGGGUCACAGGGGGCUCUGGGGGCACAGCUCCAGCCCUGCUGAGCCCCACCAGUGCUGCCCCGGGGGGUUUGGGGUGUCUGUGGGUUCCCAGGGCUGUUCCCCAUUCCCUGGCACAGCCCUGGCCAGGGUCUGUGGCCACUGGAUCACUGCCCCCUGGUCCUGUCAGUGCUCAUCACUCCCCUCCGGGGUCCCCAUUUGGCCCCCCAGCCCGUCUCCCAGCCCCCAGGCCAGAGCCCUUCCCCGGGCCCAAGUGCUACUUAUCUUUAAGAGCUUUUGCAAUAAGUCUUUUUAG